rnacentral:misc_RNA from 1 species
GUGCUACAUAUAACUGGACUGUUGGUUAAGAAACUUUCCCUAGUCCUUUUUAAACAAUUAUUGCUAAAAAUUUUAUAUUUCACAUUCUAAUUCUGUGAAUUCCUUUAGCUGUAUUUUUAUGUGCCAAAUCACAAUUAAACUUUUAUUAUAUGUAACUAGAAAAUUUGAAUAGUUCAGAUGAAAUCACCAAACCGAAGAAAAUAAUUAUAUAGUUCCUCGAAACUUAGAUUUUGGAUAUGUAGGCAAUUAUAUUGACUAGAAGUCAGGCUAAUGUCAGUUAUGCUUUGUUUUUGUAGAUACUGUCCCCCCAACAGC